rnacentral:lncRNA from 1 species
UAUUAACAUGGUUUCACAAAUAUAUACUGACAUAUGACAUCAUUACAUAGUUAUGUUGUAAUAACAUAUGCUAUACCUGAUGGAUACAUGUUGUCCUUCCUCUCUAGAGGAUCCAGGUUUAAUUUCAGAAUCCAUAUCUCAAAAUUUUUUCAGGAGAUCCAGCCAUUGUUCAUUGAACCGCAUUCUACAUCUAAUGGCCGACCCUACCAUAAAUGUAAACAGCUGGCAAUGAUCACUAGAAUAUCACAUGGGUUAGUAUCCUCCAGAUAGAUUGCAACAUUAAAUUAUAUAUACAAGAUAUCACAUACUGAUUUAAUCAAUGCUAAAAUUGGACACAAAGAGUAAAUGAAUAAAUUUAUAAAUGCC